rnacentral:rRNA from 1 species
UACAGAGGUCUCGAGCGUUAGGCGGAAUCACUGGGCUUAAAGCGUGUGUAGGCGGAUCGGUAAGUACCUUGUGAAAUCCCACAGCUUAACUGUGGAACUGCUUGGUAUACUGCCAGUCUUGAGCCAGCUAGGGGCUACCGGAACAAAUGGUGGAGCGGUGAAAUGCGUAGAUAUGUGGAGGAAUACCGAUGGCGAAGGCAGCCCCCUGGGAUAACACUGACGCUCAUGCACGAAAGCGUGGGGAGCAAACAGG